CCCUACGGGGGGCAGCAGUGAGGAAUAUUGGUCAAUGGUCGGGAGACUGAACCAGCCAAGCCGCGUGAGGGAUGAAGGUACAGAGUAUCGUAAACCUCUUUUGUCAGGGAACAAAGGCGGGGACGUGUCCCCGGAUGCAUGUACCUGAAGAAAAAGCAUCGGCUAACUCCGUGCCAGCAGCCGCGGUAAUACGGAGGAUGCGAGCGUUAUCCGGAUUUAUUGGGUUUAACGGGUGCGCAGGCGGGCUGUUAAGUCAGCGGUCAAAGCCAGGGGCCCAACCCCGGCCCGCCGUUGAAACUGGUCGU
rnacentral:rRNA from 1 species